UACGGAGGGUGCGAGCGUUGUCCGGAAUUACUGGGCGUAAAGAGCUCGUAGGUGGUUUGAUCGCGUUGUUCGUGAAAACUCACAGCUUAACUGUGGGCGUGCGGGCGAUACGGGCAGACUGGAGUACUGCAGGGGAGACUGGAAUUCCUGGUGUAGCGGUGGAAUGCGCAGAUAUCAGGAGGAACACCGGUGGCGAAGGCGGGUCUCUGGGCAGUAACUGACACUGAGGAGCGAAAGCGUGGGGAGCGAACAGG
rnacentral:rRNA from 1 species